AAAAUUAGCCGGGCAUGGUGGCCACACAUGUAGUCUCAGCUACUCUGGAGGCUAAGGUGGGAGGAUCUCUUGGGCCCAGGAGUUCGAGGCUGUAGUGAGCCGUGAUAGUGCUGCUGCAUUCCAGCCUGGGUGACAGAGCAAAAACUUGUCUCAAAAAAAAAAAAGGCUACUGCACACUGUACCCUGUAUUUUUGUAUUUUUUUUUUUUUAGGUGAGAAGAAACAUCAGAAGCAGUUGAAAGACCAGGAUGUGGGUCCUCUGGGGCUGAGGAGGCAUUCUGAAUCAACUGUGUGUUCUACACCUGUGUUUUAACUGUGACCUGUCACAUGAGGACAAGUGUGGAAUUUCCCACUUUUGUGCCAUAAAUCUCUCUCUGGGAACAGUGUGGAAGAUGGAUUGAAAUGGUGUAAAAUUGAAGAUGUGGACUCCGGUUGGGAGACUACACCCUAGAUAAGAUGAAGAGAACUUGAAGCAAGACAAUAGCAAUGGGAAUAUAAAGGAGAGGAGACAUUUGAGUGAAAUUAAGGAAGCACAAUCUGCAGACUGUUUUCUUUUUUUUAAGAGUCAGGGUCUCCCUAUUUUGCCCAGGCUGGUCUCAAAGUCCUAGGCUCAAGCGACCCACCCACCUCAGCCUUCCAAAAUGCUGGAAUUACAGGGGUGAACUGCCUCACCAUGCCUCAGUCUGCAGAAUUUGAUGACUGAAUGUAUUUGGAGAGAGUCUGUGGCUUGGAUGACUGGGUGAGUGGAUUGUGAUGCCGUUCAUGGAAAUGAAGAAGGCAGAGGAAGGGAGAGCAAGAGGGUGGAAGUGGGGCAGUGGGGUGCUGGUGGGCCAUCCAAGGGACACCAGCUGUUGAAUAUGUUGCAUCUGUAAAGAUACAGAUUGAUCAUUCAGAAAUAAAGAAGAGAAAAAAAGCAAAA
rnacentral:lncRNA from 1 species